rnacentral:lncRNA from 1 species
AUCCAAACAGGUAUCUAUACUCGCUUUUUGGGUCACGUUUUAACAUGUGUCCGCUUUGCAAAAAAAAAUUGCAAGCGUACCUACUUUUUCAAAUAACUUCAGCAUAUGGGGCUUGAUAAGAAUGGACCUUGGGCCUAACUCAACCCCAAAAGUUAGCUUAUGAGGUGAGGAUUGCCCAAGCCAUAUAAGGAGACCAAGGACCUCAAAUCCCUCCGAUGUGGGACAAAUCAACAGGCUGAAGUAGCAAAGACAAUCAUGCAAAACU